rnacentral:rRNA from 1 species
CCUACGGGGUGCUGCAGUCGAGAAUCAUUCACAAUGGGGGAAACCCUGAUGGUGCGACGCCGCGUGGGGGAAUGAAGGUCUUCGGAUUGUAAACCCCUGUCAUGUGGGAGCAAAUUAAAAAGAUAGUACCACAAGAGGAAGAGACGGCUAACCCUGUGCCAGCAGCCGCGGUAAUACAGAGGUCUCAAGCGUUGUUCGGAAUCACGGGGCGUAAGGCGUGCGUAGGCUGUUUCGUAAGUCGUGUGUGAAAGGCGCGGGCUCAACCCGCGGACGGCACAUGAUACUGCGAGACUAGAGUAAUGGAGGGGGAACCGGAAUUCUCGGUGUAGCAGUGAAAUGCGUAGAUAUAGAGAGGAACACUCGUGGCGAAGGCGGGUUCCUGGACAUUAACUGACGCUGAGGCACGAAGGCCAGGGGAGCGAAAGGGAUUAGAUACCCCGGUAGUC